rnacentral:sRNA from 1 species
UUCGUCAACGGUACCGGACCGUAGGGAGGAUAAGGAGUUGACGAAACGUUG